GGGGUAGUAGUUAAUAAAUAACAUUUAAUUUGCAAUUAAAAAGUGCACCAAGCUGCCUUCCUCG
rnacentral:tRNA from 1 species